GAUGAACGCUGGCGGCGUGCCUAAUACAUGCAAGUCGAGCGAACGGACGAGAAGCUUGCUUCUCUGAUGUUAGCGGCGGACGGGUGAGUAACACGUGGAUAACCUACCUAUAAGACUGGGAUAACUUCGGGAAACCGUAGCUAAUACCGGAUAAUAUUUUGAACCGCAUGGUUCAAAAGUGAAAGACGGUCUUGCUGUCACUUAUAGAUGGAUCCGCGCUGCAUUAGCUAGUUGGUAAGGUAACGGCUUACCAAGGCAACGAUGCAUAGCCGACCUGAGAGGGGGAUCGGCCACACUGGAACUGAGACACGGUCCAGACUCCGACGGGAGGCAGCAGUAGGGAAUCUUCCGCAAUGGGCGAAAGCCUGACGGAGCAACGCCGCGUGAGUGAUGAAGGUCUUCGGAUCGUAAAACUCUGUUAUUAGGGAAGAACAUAUGUGUAAGUAACUGUGCACAUCUUGACGGUACCUAAUCAGAAAGCCACGGCUAACUACGUG
rnacentral:rRNA from 1 species